rnacentral:rRNA from 1 species
GUACACGCUGUGACUAGCAUAUCAAUAAGCGGAGGAAAAGAAACUAACAAGGAUUCCCUCAGUAACGGCGAGUGAAGCGGGAAGAGCUCAAAUUUGAAAUCUUAAAGGUCUACCUUGCACGAAUUGUAGUUUAAAGAAGUGUUUUCUGCUGACGAUCUGGUAUAUAAGUUCUUUGGAAUAGGACAUCACAGAGGGUGAGAAUCCCGUCUAUGAUUGCAUAUUUGUAGCUGUGUGAUACACUUUCAAAGAGUCGGGUUGUUUGGGAAUGCAGUCCAAAACUGGGAGGUAAAUUUCAUUCUAAAGCUAAAUAUUGGCGAGAGACCGAUAGUGAACAAGUACCGUGAGGGAAAGAUGAAAAGAACUUUGAAAAGAGAGUUAAACAGUACGUGAAAUUGUCAAAAGGGAAGCGUUUGACACCAGUGUUGUUUUUCUGAAAAUCAAUUAAAGAACUGUUUAUGCUAAGCUGUUUAGACUUUAUCAGCUAUCUGUUUAGUUUUAGGCUUUUCUUUAAUGCACUUUUCAGUUAACAAGUCAACAUCAAUUUCUUUUGCUGUAAAAAAGCUUGAGGAAGGUGGCUUGAGAUUCGUCUUAAGUGUUUAUAGCCUCUUGCCUAUGCAGUCGGAGAGAUUGAGGUCUGCAGCGUAGAUCCUUCGGGGCUAGAUACAUUUGUGCUAAGUUAUAGCAUUUUAUAGACAACUUGUUGACUAUAAUUUAGUCUUGUAGCUUGACUCGCUUAUGCUAUUUUACCUACGCUUAGGAUGUUGACGCAUGAGAUAUACGC